rnacentral:lncRNA from 1 species
ACUUCGUCCGCCGGACUCGGAAUGGCGCGAGACUUUGCGAGGGGCCGCCGUGUGGCAAAAAUAGGCCACGGACAAUGCCACACCCAAAAAUAACAGCCCGAAGGCCGGGGUGCCAAGUUCGUCCAGCGAAAAAGCGCCAGCAAAACGGGUGGGCUAUAGCCUCGGCGGGUGGGGCUGGCCAACUUCGUCCGCCGGACUCGGAAUGCCGCGAGACUUUGCGAGGGGCCUCCGUGUGCCAAAAAUAGGCCGCGGACAAAGCCGCGCCCAAAAAUAACCGCCCGAAGGCCGGGGCGCCAAGUUCGUCCAGCGGAAAAAGGCAACAAAAACGGGUGGGCUAUAGGCUUGGGGGGUGGGGCUGGCCGACUUCGUCCGCCGAACUCGUAAUGCCGCGAGACUUUACGAGGGGCCUCCGUGUGCCAUAAAUAGGCUGUGGGCAAAGCCGCGCCUAAAAAUAACAGCCCAAAGGCCGGGGCGCCAAGUUCGUCCAGCGGAAAAAGGCCACAAAAACGGGUGGGCUAUAGCCUUGGGGGGUGGGGCUGGCCAACUUCGUCCGCCGGACUAGGAAUGCCGCGAGACUUUGUGAGGGGCCUCCGUGUGCCAAAAAUAGGCCGCGGGCAAAGCCGCGCCCAAAAAUAACCGCCCGAAGGCCGGGGCGCCAAGUUCGUCCUGCGGAAAAAGGCCACAAAACGGGUGGGCUAUACCCUUGGGGGGUGGGGCCGGCCGAAUUCGUUCGCCGGACUCGGAAUGGCGCGAGACUUUGCGAGGGUCCUCCGUUUGCCAAAAAUAGGCCGUGGGCAAAGCCGCGCCCAAAAAUAACCGCCCGAAGGCCGGGGCGCCAAGUUCGUCCAGCGGAAAAAGGCUACAAAAACGGGUUGGCUAUAGCCUUGGCGGGUGGGGCUGGCCAACUUCGUCCGCCGGACUAGGAAUGCCGCGAGACUUUGUGAGGGGCCUCCGUGUGCCAAAAAUAGGCCGCGGGCAAAGCCGCGCCCAAAAAUAACCGCCCGAAGGCCGGGGCGCCAAGUUCGUCCUGCGGAAAAAGGCCACAAAACGGGUGGGCUAUACCCUUGGGGGGUGGGGCCAGCCGAAUUCGUUCGCCGG